rnacentral:rRNA from 1 species
UACGGGGGGGGCAAGCGUUGUUCGGAAUUACUGGGCGUAAAGGGCUCGUAGGUGGCCAACUAAGUCAGACGUGAAAUCCCUCGGCUUAACCGGGGAACUGCGUCUGAUACUGGAUGGCUUGAGUUCGGGAGAGGGAUGCGGAAUUCCAGGUGUAGCGGUGAAAUGCGUAGAUAUCAGGAAGAACACCCGUGGCUAAGGCGGCUCUCUAGUACGGUACUGACGCUGAGACGCGAAAGCGUGGGGAGCGAACAGG